AAAUUGAAGAGUUUGAUCAUGGCUCAGAUUGAACGCUGGCGGCAGGCCUAACACAUGCAAGUCGAACGGUAGCACAGAGAGCUUGCUCUCGGGUGACGAGUGGCGGACGGGUGAGUAAUGUCUGGGAAACUGCCUGAUGGAGGGGGAUAACUACUGGAAACGGUGGCUAAUACCGCAUAACGUCGCAAGACCAAAGAGGGGGACCUUCGGGCCUCUUGCCAUCAGAUGUGCCCAGAUGGGAUUAGCUAGUUGGUGAGGUAACGGCUCACCAAGGCGACGAUCCCUAGCUGGUCUGAGAGGAUGACCAGCCACACUGGAACUGAGACACGGUCCAGACUCCUACGGGAGGCAGCAGUGGGGAAUAUUGCACAAUGGGCGCAAGCCUGAUGCAGCCAUGCCGCGUGUAUGAAGAAGGCCUUCGGGUUGUAAAGUACUUUCAGCGGGGAGGAAGGUGUUGUGGUUAAUAACCGCAGCAAUUGACGUUACCCGCAGAAGAAGCACCGGCUAACUCCGUGCCAGCAGCCGCGGUAAUACGGAGGGUGCAAGCGUUAAUCGGAAUUACUGGGCGUAAAGCGCACGCAGGCGGUCUGUCAAGUCGGAUGUGAAAUCCCCGGGCUCAACCUGGGAACUGCAUUCGAAACUGGCAGGCUUGAGUCUUGUAGAGGGGGGUAGAAUUCCAGGUGUAGCGGUGAAAUGCGUAGAGAUCUGGAGGAAUACCGGUGGCGAAGGCGGCCCCCUGGACAAAGACUGACGCUCAGGUGCGAAAGCGUGGGGAGCAAACAGGAUUAGAUACCCUGGUAGUCCACGCCGUAAACGAUGUCUACUUGGAGGUUGUGCCCUUGAGGCGUGGCUUCCGGAGCUAACGCGUUAAGUAGACCGCCUGGGGAGUACGGCCGCAAGGUUAAAACUCAAAUGAAUUGACGGGGGCCCGCACAAGCGGUGGAGCAUGUGGUUUAAUUCGAUGCAACGCGAAGAACCUUACCUGGUCUUGACAUCCACGGAAGUUUUCAGAGAUGAGAAUGUGCCUUCGGGAACCGUGAGACAGGUGCUGCAUGGCUGUCGUCAGCUCGUGUUGUGAAAUGUUGGGUUAAGUCCCGCAACGAGCGCAACCCUUAUCCUUUGUUGCCAGCGAUUAGGUCGGGAACUCAAAGGAGACUGCCAGUGAUAAACUGGAGGAAGGUGGGGAUGACGUCAAGUCAUCAUGGCCCUUACGACCAGGGCUACACACGUGCUACAAUGGCGCAUACAAAGAGAAGCGACCUCGCGAGAGCAAGCGGACCUCAUAAAGUGCGUCGUAGUCCGGAUUGGAGUCUGCAACUCGACUCCAUGAAGUCGGAAUCGCUAGUAAUCGUGGAUCAGAAUGCCACGGUGAAUACGUUCCCGGGCCUUGUACACACCGCCCGUCACACCAUGGGAGUGGGUUGCAAAAGAAGUAGGUAGCUUAACCUUCGGGAGGGCGCUUACCACUUUGUGAUUCAUGACUGGGGUGAAGUCGUAACAAGGUAACCGUAGGGGAACCUGCGGUUGGAUCACCUCCUUACCUUAAAGAAGC
rnacentral:rRNA from 3 species